rnacentral:rRNA from 1 species
AGUGAACGCUGGCGGUAGGCCUAACACAUGCAAGUCGAACGGCAGCACAGUAAGAGCUUGCUCUUACGGGUGGCGAGUGGCGGACGGGUGAGGAAUACAUCGGAAUCUACUUUUUCGUGGGGGAUAACGUAGGGAAACUUACUCUAAUACCGCAUACGACCUACGGGUGAAAGCAGUGGAUCUUCGGACCUUGCGCGAUUGCAUGAGCCGAUGUCGGAUUAGCUAGUUGGCGGGGUAAAGGCCCACCAAGGCGGCGAUCCGUAGCUGGUCUGAGAGGAUGAUCAGCCACACUGGAACUGAGACACGGUCCAGACGACUACGAGAGGCAGCAGUGGGGAAUAUUGGACAAUGGGCGAAAGCCUGAUACAGCCAUACCGCGUGGGUGAAGAAGGCCUUCGGGUUGUAAAGCCCUUUUGUUGGGAAAGAAAAGCAGCAGGUUAAUACGCCGCUGUUCUGACGGUACCGAAAGAAUAAGCACCGGCUAACUUCGUG